rnacentral:rRNA from 1 species
CUUGCCCCCAUAAGAGGUCCAGCCUGCCCAGUGACCCAGUUCAACGGCCGCGGUAUCCUAACCGUGCGAAGGUAGCGUAAUCACUUGUCUUUUAAAUAAAGACUAGUAUGAAAGGCAUCACGAGAACUAAACUGUCUCCCUUUUCCAAUCAGUGAACCUAAUACCCCCGUGAAGAAGCGGGGAUCUUACAACAAGACGAGAAGACCCUGUGGAGCUUUAAACACUAUAAUCACUUGAACAUAUUAACCAAAAACUCAGGUUCCCACACCAAGACCCACAAUGAUUAUAUGUUUUUGGUUGGGGUGACCGCGGAGAAAAACUCAUCCCCCGCGAUGAAACUCACCUAAACAACAAGCCACAACUUUAUGUAUCAACAAAUUGACACCAUUGACCCAAUAUAUUGAUUAACGAAC